GAUACUAAGCCAUGCGAGUCGUUGUAGCAAUACAAGGCAUACGGCUCAGUAACGCGUAGUCAACCUAACCUAUGGACGGGAAUAACCUCGGGAAACUGAGAAUAAUGCCCGAUAGAACAUUAUGCCUGGAAUGGUUUAUGUUCCAAAUGAUUUAUCGCCAUAGGAUGGGACUGCGGCCUAUCAGUUUGUUGGUGAGGUAAUGGCCCACCAAGACUAUUACAGGUACGGGCUCUGAGAGGAGUAGCCCGGAGAUGGGUACUGAGACACGGACCCAGGCCCUAUGGGGCGCAGCAGGCGAGAAAACUUUGCAAUGUGCGAAAGCACGACAAGGUUAAUCCGAGUGAUUUCUGCUAAAGAGAUCUUUUGUUAGUCCUAGAAACACUAACGAAUAAGGGGUGGGCAAGUUCUGGUGUCAGCCGCCGCGGUAAAACCAGCACCUCAAGUGGUCAGGAUGAUUAUUGGGCCUAAAGCAUCCGUAGCCGGCUCUGUAAGUUUUCGGUUAAAUCUGUACGCUCAACGUACAGGCUGCCGGAAAUACUGCAGAACUAGGGAGUGGGAGAGGUAGACGGUACUCGGUAGGAAGUGGUAAAAUGCUUUGAUCUAUCGAUGACCACCUGUGGCGAAGGCGGUCUACCAGAACACGUCCGACGGUGAGGGAUGAAAGCUGGGGGAGCAAACCGGAUUAGAUACCCGGGUAGUCCCAGCUGUAAACUAUGCAAACUCAGUGAUGCAUUGGCUUGUGGCCAAUGCAGUGCUGCAGGGAAGCCGUUAAGUUUGCCGCCUGGGAAGUACGUACGCAAGUAUGAAACUUAAAGGAAUUGGCGGGGGAGCACCACAAGGGGUGAAGCCUGCGGUUC
rnacentral:rRNA from 1 species